CGAUCGUCUACGACGUAGCGCUACGACGGCUACGGUGUAACUUUGUUUCGAUGUUUUAGUAUAAGGUAGUGAAGCGUAUCUAUGUAACGUAGAAAUAUAAAGUUUAGUCUCAAGUAUCUUUUAAAGUGAAAACUAGAAAAAACUAAUGUUAAGACUUAGUUGCAACUUUUUAAAAUAUUGUCAGUGAUUCUACUUGGCUUUGACUAUUUAAGGAAUAGGGAUAUAUUGGAAUUAUUAUGGCGAUGAUAAAUCGCUAUGGGACCUG
rnacentral:misc_RNA from 1 species